UGGAAACCAGGAUUAGAUACCCUAGUACACUUAAAUUUAAUUAGUAACAUUAGAAUAUUAAAAGUUAUGUUCUUUAAAUUUAAAAAAUUUGGCGGUGUUUUAGUCUAGUUAGAGGAACCUGUGUUAUAAAUGAUAUAACACGCAUUAUUUUACUUAUUCUAGUAGAUCAGCUUGUAUACCGUCAUUAUAAGAUAAUUUAGGAGAGAAUAUUAUUGAGAUCAUAUUAUUGAGUAUAUUAGAUCAAGGUGCAGCUUAUGGGUAAGUAAACAUGGGUUACAAUAAAAUUUAUUUAAUAUGAAUUAAGUGUUUAAACAUGUUUAUGAAGGAGGAUUUAAUUGUAAGGGGGGAGUAGUGAGCUUUUCUGAUAAAAGCUCUAAAUUAUGUACAUAUCGCCCGUCGCUC
rnacentral:rRNA from 1 species